rnacentral:rRNA from 1 species
GCACAAGCAGUGGAGUAUGUGGUUUAAUUCGAAGCAACGCGAAGAACCUUACCAGGUCUUGACAUCCGAUGCAUAGUGCAGAGAUGCAUGAAGUCCUUCGGGACAUCGAGACAGGUGGUGCAUGGUUGUCGUCAGCUCGUGUCGUGAGAUGUUGGGUUAAGUCCCGCAACGAGCGCAACCCUUAUUGCCAGUUACUACGUUAAGAGGACUCUGGCGAGACUGCCGUUGACAAAA